rnacentral:lncRNA from 1 species
AAAAAGUAGCACAUUCGGUAUUGAAUCACGAUCUAUACCUCUAUUCCUCUCUGUAUAUAGCACUCUACUACUUGUAGUUUUCAAGCAAAAACAUUCUUCAAUGGCUUCUCUUCCUCUACCCAAAGUUUGUUUCUUUCUUUUACUCAUAACCUUAUCUUUCUACACUUCUCCUUGGAUUGGAUUUGAUCGAAACACAUUGGUCUCUGCGUGCUGUGGAGGUGGCGGAAAAUACAAUGCUAAUUUAACAGCUUGGGAAAUUCGAGUGUACUAUCUAGUUAUUGAGUUUUAAGAUUUUUCUUUGUUUGUUACUUUACUUAGAUGUUUUUUUUUUCAUUGGUAUUUGGGUGUUUUGACUAUGAUGAGAUGUGUGUUUUCUUCUCUUCGUCAAUUGGUGGAAAAGAAAAUAAAUACGGUUGUUGCAAAUAAUGGUUAAACUCUAUCCACUAUAAGGUUAAAGUCAUAGAACUAAUCUUUAUCACAAUAAAACAGUUGAACUUAAUCCACUUUUAACAGUAAAUCACAAAUAUUAGUUGGCAAAACCACUUAUCAAAUAUGAGUUGCAUCUGCUGUUCAAAAUGUUCACAAUAGUUUAUUAAGGUUGACUGGUGUGUUUUAUUCCCUAGUGGACGGAGGAGCAUAACAACAACAACAUCCCGGGUCUGAGGAGGGUAGUGUGUACUACUCUAGAAUAG